rnacentral:misc_RNA from 1 species
AAGUCGUAACAAGGUUUCCGUAGGUGAACCUGCGGAAGGAUCAUUCAUGUGAAAUUUUAUUUUUGGGGGAAAAUUUUAAAAGGUGUCUCUCUUCCUAAAAAAAGAAAGACACAUUUAAAAUCCCUCAAAAAAAAUACCACAACUUUAUUGUGAAUUUGGCCAGGGUUUUUAUUAGCUUUUUUAUAUUUUGUGGGCUGCGUUUUAAUUUUUUAUUGCAUUUUUUCUUUAGUGAGAAAAAAAUGGAAAAAAAACAAAUGCUACCUAAAAGUUUUACCAAGAGUUUCUAACAAAAAAAAGUACCAACUAAUAGCAAUUAAAAAAACUAUUACAACUUUUAACGAUGGAUCCCUCGGCUCUCA